ensembl:lncRNA
CCUCAAUCUCUGGCUGGUUGCUUGCACACAGAAGACAUACAGGCAGAACACCCCUUUGGCUCUGAUUGCAUGCUGCCAUGUGCAUGGUGACAAACAGCUCCUCUUGCUCCAUCUUUGAGAGCCAACCUGUGUGACUCAGGGGAUAUCUCUGGAAAUUCUUAUGGAUGUUACGGUCUUCAUGAGUCUGUAGCUGCCUUAUGUCAUGGAGGCAAAGGCCACCCAAGAUAGGAUGCCUAGGACUAGCUUAAUGUUUAUCAGUACUUGUACAGGGUUCACGUUACCCCUGUCUAAUGCUAAAGUCCACUCACAAUAUACCUGCUUUCAGCUGUACUUCAGACAAAAAAAAAAAAAAAAAUCACUGCCUUGUUCCUUUGUAAGCAAUACUGAAGCUUUCUUCUCUUUUCUCCUGCCUGCAUUUAUCAUCCUCUAUGAAGCCACAGAAACAGAGGUGCCUCACAGGUACAAGUCAGGAAGACUGAUGGGAUGGAGAGCUAUUGGAAAAAGCUACUGACAAGGUAACGCCACUGACCACAGCAAAA